GGCGGCAGGCCUAACACAUGCAAGUCGAGCGCUUACCUUCGGGUAGGAGCGGCGGACGGGUUAGUAACGCGUGGGAAUAUACCCUUCACUACGGAAUAGCCUCGGGAAACUGAGAGUAAUACCGUAUACGCCCUUCGGGGGAAAGAUUUAUCGGUGAAGGAUUAGCCCGCGUAAGAUUAGAUAGUUGGUGGGGUAAUGGCCUACCAAGUCUACGAUCUUUAGCUGGUUUUAGAGGAUGAUCAGCAACACUGGGACUGAGACACGGCCCAGACUCCUACGGGAGGCAGCAGUGGGGAAUCUUGGACAAUGGGCGCAAGCCUGAUCCAGCCAUGCCGCGUGUGUGAUGAAGGCCUUAGGGUCGUAAAGCACUUUCGCCAGAGAUGAUAAUGACAGUAUCUGGUAAAGAAACCCCGGCUAACUCCGUGCCAGCAGCCGCGGUAAUACGGAGGGGGUUAGCGUUGUUCGGAAUUACUGGGCGUAAAGCGCACGUAGGCGGAUUAGUCAGUCAGAGGUGAAAUCCCAGGGCUCAACCCUGGAACUGCCUUUGAUACUGCUAGUCUUGAGUUCGAGAGAGGUGAGUGGAAUUCCGAGUGUAGAGGUGAAAUUCGUAGAUAUUCGGAGGAACACCAGUGGCGAAGGCGGCUCACUGGCUCGAUACUGACGCUGAGGUGCGAAAGUGUGGGGAGCAAACAGGAUUAGAUACCCUGGUAGUCCACACCGUAAACGAUGAAUGCCAGUCGUCGGGCAGUAUACUGUUCGGUGACACACCUAACGGAUUAAGCAUCCGC
rnacentral:rRNA from 1 species